rnacentral:rRNA from 1 species
AACGAACGCUGGCGGCGCGCUUAACACAUGCAAGUCGAACGAGAAGCUGUAGCAAUACAGUUGUACAGUGGCGAACGGGUGAGGAAUACAUGGGUAACCUACCCUCGAGUGGGGAAUAACCAGCCGAAAGGCUGGCUAAUACCGCGUACGCUUCCCAGUCUGCGGGUUGGGAAGGAAAGCUCUACCGUGGGUAGAGCGCUCAAGGACGGGCUCAUGUCCUAUCAGCUUGUUGGAGGGUAACGGCCUACCAAGGCAACGACGGGUAGCUGGUCUGAGAGGACGAUCAGCCACACUGGCACUGCGACACGGGCCAGACUCCUACGGGAGGCAGCAGUGAGGAAUAUUGCGCAAAUGGGCGACAGCCUGACGCAGCGACGCCGCGUGGGGGA